rnacentral:rRNA from 1 species
CGAAAGCCUGACGGAGCAAUACCGCGUGAGGGAGGAAGGCUCUUGGGUUGUAAACCUCUUUUCUCAGGGAAGAACARAAUGACGGUACCUGAGGAAUAAGCAUCGGCUAACUCCGUGCCAGCAGCCGCGGUAAUACGGAGGAUGCAAGCGUUAUCCGGAAUGAUUGGGCGUAAAGGGUCCGCAGGUGGCAUUGWAAGUCUGCUGUUAAAGAGUUUGGCUCAACCAAAUAAGAGCAGUGGAAACUACAAAGCUAGAGUUUGGUCGGGGCAGAGGGAAUUCCUGGUGUAGCGGUGAAAUGCGUAGAUAUCAGGAAGAACACCAGUGGCGAAGGCGCUCUGCUAGGCCGAGACUGAC